UACGUAGGGGGCGAGCGUUGUCCGGAAUCACUGGGCGUAAAGCGCACGUAGGCGGAUCUUUAAGUCAGGGGUGAAAUCCCGAGGCUCAACCUCGGAACUGCCUUUGAUACUGGGGAUCUCGAGUCCGGGAGAGGUGAGUGGAACUGCGAGUGUAGAGGUGAAAUUCGUAGAUAUUCGCAAGAACACCAGUGGCGAAGGCGGCUCACUGGCCCGGAACUGACGCUGAGGUGCGAAAGCGUGGGGAGCAAACAGG
rnacentral:rRNA from 1 species